rnacentral:lncRNA from 1 species
CCGAGGAAAACUGAGCGUGGGCCUCAGAAAGAAGUUAAGGCACCCGCGAGCCGGGCAACUGCCCUCCUUCCGCGCCGGCGGAGCGAUUAAAGUGAAGAAACAAUGGCCAGCAAUCACAAAUCUUCAGCAGCUCGCCCUGUUUCAAGAGGUGGAGUUGGGUUAACAGGAAGGCCUCCUUCUGGGAUACGACCCCUAUCAGGAAAUAUUCGAGUGGCAACUGCAAUGCCACCUGGGACAGCAAGACCAGGUUCUCGUGGUUGUCCCAUAGGGACUGGUGGAGUUCUGUCUUCUCAAAUCAAAGUUGCCCAUCGCCCUGUAACACAACAAGGUUUGACUGGAAUGAAAACUGGGACGAAAGGUCCCCAGAGGCAAAUUUUAGACAAAUCUUACUAUCUUGGGCUUCUUAGAAGUAAAAUAAGUGAACUUACAACUGAAGUUAAUAAACUUCAGAAGGGAAUAGAAAUGUACAAUCAAGAGAAUUCAGUAUAUUUGUCAUAUGAAAAGAGGGCUGAGACUUUAGCUGUUGAGAUAAAAGAGCUUCAAGGACAACUAGCAGACUACAACAUGAUAAACUUAAUACCAACACUGAAAUGGAAGAAGUAAUGAAUGAUUACAAUAUGCUUAAAGCUCAAAAUGAUCGAGAAACACAAAGUUUGGAUGUCAUAUUUACUGAAAGACAAGCGAAAGAAAAACAAAUCAGAAGUGUCGAAGAAGAAAUUGAACAGGAAAAACAAGCAACAGAUGACAUUAUCAAAAAUAUGUCUUUUGAAAACCAAGUCAAGUACCUAGAGAUGAAAACCACAAAUGAGAAACUGUUACAGGAAUUAGAUACACUUCAACAACAAUUGGAUUCAC